rnacentral:lncRNA from 8 species
AUGGAGACCCUCAGGAGGAUGUCCAGUCUCUGUCUGUUCCUCUGCUUACUGCAGCCUCCUCUACAAGGUCUGGAGAUCGUGGACCCAGAGGAGGUAGAGUAUAUCCGGCAGGAGGCCAGAGGGGUGGUGGGGGGCUCUGUGACUCUGGAAUGUGGAUCCACAAUGCCUGAUAUCCUCAUCUGGGGAUUCACCAGGCCUGGGUCCCAGUCUAACCUAGCUGUGGCUUAUAACUACGGACAUGGUCCCAUGCUCCAGCCUCUACUCUCAAGCAGCCUUGGACAUCUGAAGGUGGGUAACCCAGCUUACUAUUCUACCCUAAAACAAACCUCUUCUACCCUGAAUCUAACCUCUUCUACCCUAAAACUAACCUCUUCUACCUUAACUCUAACCUUUCUACCCUGAAUCUAACCUCUUCUACCCUAACUCUAACCUCUUCUACCCUAACUCUAACCUCUUCUACCCUAACUCUAACCUCUUCCACCCUAACUCUAACCUCUUCUACCCUAACU